AAAAAAAAAAAAAAAAAUCCCAGUAGGCACCAUUGAAAGAAUUGCGCCUGAUAUCUAAGCAAAUAUAAUCUGACAAAAUGCACGGCAUUGCACCAAAUUCAAACAAUGGAAACAGAUAAUUAAAGAUUAGAUUUAAAAGUUAGCAACACAAAAUUAUUGUUACUAUUUAUUAUUAAUUACUGCUAAACAUGUGUACUAGCUCUUAGUUUCAAACUAAUUAGAGUUAAACAUAUGAAUCUGCUAUGUCCAUUCUAUUUAUGACCAAAAUUUCAAAGAAUUUUAACCAUUAAAUGGCAAAGAAUUUGACAUAACUUAAUU
rnacentral:misc_RNA from 1 species